rnacentral:rRNA from 1 species
CCUACGGGUGACAGCAGUGGGGAAUAUUGCACAAUGGGCGAAAGCCUGAUGCAGCAACGCCGCGUGAGCGAUGAAGGCCUUCGGGUUGUAAAGCUCUGUCCUCAAGGAAGAUAAUGACGGUACUUGAGUACGAAGCCCCGGCUAACUACGGGCCAGCAGCCGCGGUAAUACGUAGGGGGCAAGCGUUAUCCGGAUUUACUGGGAGAAAGGGGUGCGUAGGUGGUUUCGUAAGUCAGAGUUGAAAGGCUACGGCUCAACCGGAGUAAGCCUUUGAAACUGGGAAACUUGAGUGCAGGAGAGGAGAGCGGAAUUCCUAGGGUAGCGGUGAAAUGCGUAGAUAUUAGGAGGAACACCAGUUGCGAAGGCGGCUCUCUGGACUGUAACUGACACUGAGGCACGAAAGCGUGGGGAGCAAACAGGAUUAGAUACCCGUGUAGUC